rnacentral:rRNA from 1 species
AUGCACGCUGGCGGCGUGCCUAAUACAUGCAAGUCGCGCGAACGGACGAGAAGCUUGCUUCUCUGAUGUUAGCGGCGGACGGGUGAGUAACACGUGGAUAACCUACCUAUAAGACUGGGAUAACUUCGGGAAACCGGAGCUAAUACCGGAUAAUAUUUUGAACCGCAUGGUUCAAAAGUAAAAGACGGUCUUGCUGUCACUUAUAGAUGGAUCCGCGCUGCAUUAGCUAGUUGGUAAGGUAACGGCUUACCAAGGCAACGAUGCAUAGCCGACCUGAGAGGGUGAUCGGCCACACUGGAACUGAGACACGGUCCAGACUCCUACGGGAGGCAGCAGUAGGGAAUCUUCCGCAAUGGGCGAAAGCCUGACGGAGCAACGCCGCGUGAGUGAUGAAGGUCUUCGGAUCGUAAAACUCUGUUAUUAGGGAAGAACAUAUGUGUAAGUAACUGUGCACAUCUUGACGGUACCUAAUCAGAAAGCCACGGCUAACUACGUG